ACCUUAACAUAUAAUUGUCCAUAUUUUGAGUUAAAGCCGAUAGACUUUUCUAUAAUUUUGAUAUAAUUUGUCCCAUAAGUAGUGCACUACACCUUAAAAAACAGUCAAAACAAGUGUAAUUUAUUUUAUUUGUGUUUAUUGUCUACAGUAUAUGAAAUGCACAUUGAAAUAACUGUUCUUGGGCCUAAGAGAUGAGUUCAGUAACUGUAGAUUCAGCAAAUUCCCUGAUCAGUAAAUGUAGAUUCUGCAAAUUCCCUGAUAAGGAGCUAUGUACAUCAAAGUUGAGUUAGUUGAAUUCCAUCUUAAAGAGUUAACUUUAAGUCUGUAAAAAAAUCACUUUUCAAAGAUAAAUGUACCCGUUUCCUUUCAUAUGAAACUUUUUUUUUCUUCUGUAGGAUAGUUAGUGGUUCAAAUAUAUGCCUGUUGAGAAUAAAAUUACAUGCAAGUUUUCGGAAUUUCCACUGAAAAAUGAAAAUAAAAUUUGCAUUAAAGUACCCUGUCUGCAAAAAAAGUUCAAUGCAAGAGUCUUAUUGCACUUAAACUUUUUGUAUCAUGUCAAUUAAGCAUAGAAAUAACCAAAAAGAAACAAAUUUCUCUUUCCUAUAGCUUCUAUAUGCAAUUUUAUAUGUAAAUAUGUGUUACAGCCUAAAUUGACCUCAACUUAUUUUUAGUCUUGCAUCGCCUUUGACCAUUUCCUAACUGUGUGGUAUGCUAUUGCAACUUUUCCAUCCUGAAAGAAUUAUUUUUGGCAAAAUUGCUUCACAAAUUUUAAUUUGAUGGACAAAAUUACAAUUUUUUAGAAGCACACCCCCCUCCCAAAUACCAUCUUAAUUUCAUUUUAUGUAAUGCAUAAAAUAACAAGCCCCUUAUUAAUAUAAGGUGAAAUGGGAUAAUAUCAAUUUGGUUAUCAGAAUUUGUGAUUAUCUCCCCUUAUUACUUAUUAAAAAGAACUUGUGCCAGUGUAGGAAUUUUACUGGAAAUAUUUCGUUGUAAAGGAGGGAUUUCAAUACAAUUUGAAGUAGUAAGCUGAAAUCUGAAAGCACAUUUUUUUUAUGUAUGAAAUUAAGGAAGUUCGCUUGUCAUGUUUUGGGAUAUUUGUCAGAUUUUCAGAAUUCUCUGGUUUUAUUCAUUUGAAUGUCUUAAAAAAAAUUGACCCCCAUUUUUUUAUUUAUAAAUCUUUAACAUGUAUAAUGAUAAGCCAUCUGUUAAAGUCUCAUUAAAACUUAAACUUGUCAAUGUUAAAGCUAUGAUAAGUCAAGAGAGAAUAUUUUACCCGCAAAAAUUUCAAUUGUUUAUAUCUCGGAAACGAGCACAUUGACCUUUAAAUUAUUUUUGCUCUUUUGAUUCCUUUAUUAAUCAUCUAUCAACAUAAACUAGUGUUUUGAAAAGUUCAUUAUUUUGAAACUUAGAAGCAAACUGCUUUCCCUUAAAAAAAGAACCACCACAUAACAGCUAUGAUAAAAUCUUUAGAUUUCAGCCUUUUCAUAUUUCAUAUAAUUUUGUUUUGCUCAUACAUUGGUGACAAACAUAUAUGAUAAAUGAGAGUUAUCAAAUAAUCAGCUUCAAGUUUUUAAAAAGGCCUAAAUCAAACUUGAUUCAUCAAACACCUUGUUUUAAACUUAGCAGAACAGUUAAUAUGCUGGUCAAUGCCCCAUGUCCUCUGCAAAUGGGAUAACUGUAAAGAAAGUCCUUAUAAAAUGAUGAACAAUUGUUUCUUUUAUCGAAAAAAUUAAAUAUAAGAGGUAGGGGUAUACAGUAAUCAACUAAUGGAAAGGUUGUCUUAUUUAAUAAGAUAGACAAGUUUUGGUUCCUACCGCACCCUCAUCAGGAUUAAAACUACAGAAGAGUACAAAAUUCCCAAGUGAUAAUGUGUUCUUCACAAUUUGUCACCAUAAGAAGAAAUUACAAAUAGAGAGUGAAAGUAGGUAUGACAGUAAACUGGAUUAAGAAUGUUAAAUAAAAUAUGUUUUUGCAAAUUUGGACGACAAUUAAUUGCAAUUAUGUACCAUUUCAACAAUAGAAGUAGUAUAGACUUGCAAAUCCGUACCAUUACAACACUGGAAGUAGUAUGGUUGUCUGAGCGAAGCCAAUUGGAAGCAUGUACCUCUUAGUGAAGCUAAUUGGGAGCACACCCUCUGUCUUGUUGCGAAGCUAGUUGGAAGCAGUACAUAUAUACCUCUGUCUGCAAAAGCUAAUUAGAAGCAGUACCCCUGGCAGAGCGGUCCCAAUUAGAGGCAUGUAACUCUGAGGGAAGCCAAUUGGAAGCAGUACCUCUGCAAAAUUUGAUUAAAAAUUAUUCAACCAAUUUUAUUUAACAUUCUUUUUAAAGUUUACUUUCAUACCAACUCUCAUUUUCUAUUCAUAAUUACUCCCCUUGUUGACAAUGUGACAUGCAAAUUAUCACUCCACCAUUUUGUACUCGCCUGUGGUUUUCAUCCUGAUGAAGAUGCACUAGAAACAGAAACACGUAGAUUUAAAUUACUACAGCACACCCUCAAGGAUUGUUAUAAUUAAGAGCCAAAACCCCAAACCAAACAGAUACACUAGUUUUCUCUGCCAAUUAAAAGUGGUGUGUUUACAAACAACUCGAAAAGACUUUCUAUUUCAGUUAUUGUUUGGAUACAAAAAAUCAGACGAUGAUGAUGGAAAACCAAGGAAAAAGAGUGCAUGUGCACCAAAAAAGAAAAAAUGCUAUGAUGUAUAAAUACAAACUUGCUUAUAGGUGAUUUGAACAUCAAAAACUAAAACAUUGUACAACACUUCAUUAAUUAAUAUUUUACUUCAAACUAAAAGACAAAAAAUAGCGUUGUUUUCAUCCCUGAAAAUAUCAACUACAGAUAUUGAAACAUACCCUUUAAAUCAAUAUUGGCCUUACCCCCAUAAUUAAAAUCAUUAGUGUUCCUUUCUGAAAAUACCUAUAAAAAUAUAACUGCUGAAUGCCUCGCUUUUUUGUUAUCAAAUUUUUAGUGUAAAACAUCACUCAAAGACCUUUGAUAUACUAUUCUCAUAAAUUUUUUAUACAACCGCAAUUUUUAUUAUGUUCUUUAGUCAUAUAUAGGUAUCAAGUCGUCAGCGUCAUCCAAAACCAGAUGGUUUCCGGAUAAUAACAUAAGUAUAAGUAAAUAGAAAUCAAUAAAAUUUUAAACUAUAACCACUGAAGAUCAAUUUUGGAGGUUUUUAUCCCAACAGUUUAGGAGCAAGGGGUCCAAAAGGGGUCAAAAUAAGUAUUUUUAUAGUUUCAA
rnacentral:lncRNA from 1 species